CUCCUCUCGGGGUCACACCUGGAGAGUUUCCAGUACUCUACAAGUCUCGACUACAGGAGGGAGAGUCAAGCAGAGCAUAUCCAUUCCAUCCCUAGCUUGGACAGUAUCUAGUGAGUGGAAGACAGUCUGCUAAAAGU